rnacentral:sRNA from 1 species
AACGGUAGAUAGGAACCGAAAUGUCUCACGACAAUCUAAACCCAGGGCUCAGGCAAGAAAACCAGGGAAGCGUGAAAGAGCUCACUCGUCCAAAGUUAGAUCUAGCGAAUAGCGAUAGCGUUUUUGUUUGUAUAACAACUUGU